CCUUGCGGGGAGCGGGUCAAGUCCGCGGGAGCCGGCGCUGGGGUCUGAGAGCAAUCACGGGUGCUCGGGUCCUCGGUGGCUGACAGCAAAAUUAAGUGGCCAACAUGUGUUUGCUCUACCAGUCACUGAGAGCCACCUGGUACCGUGAUGGAUUGAAACCAGUGGAAGAAAAUGCUCCUUGAAAGAGAAAUAUCACUUCAAUCAAGAUGCCUCUGAGGGUUAAAGCCCUGGCCUGAAGCGCCAGCAUCCCAUGUGGGCACCUGUUCGGGACCCAGCUGCUCCACUUCCGAUCCAGCUCUCUGCUGUGGCCUGGGAAGGCAGUGGAAGAUGGUCCAGGUCCUUGGGCCCCUGCACCUGCGUGGGAGACCUGAAGGAGGCUCCUGGCUCCUGGCUUCAGAUCGGCGCAGCUCCAGCCAUUGCGGCCAUCUUGGGAGUGAACAACUGGAUGGAAGACUCUCUCUCUCUCUGCCUCUGCCUUUCUGUAAA